GACGAACGCUGGCGGCGUGCCUAAUACAUGCAAGUCGAACGCAGUGGGGACGGGUGAGUAACACGUGGGUAACCUCCCAUCAGAGGGGAUAACACUUGGAAACAGGUGCUAAACCGAUACUGAUGGAUGGACCCGCGGUGCAUUAGCUAUUUGGUGAGGUAACGGCUCACCAAGGACACGAGUCAUAGACGACCAGCGAGGGUGAGAGGCCACACUGGGACUGAGACACGGCCAAGACUCCUACGGGAGGCAGCAGUAGGGAAUCUUCGGAAAUGGACGAAAGUCUGACCGAGCAACGCCGCGUGAGGGAAGAAGGUUUUCGGAUCGUAAAACUCUGUUGUUAGAGAAGCGGUAUCUAACCAGAAGGCCACGGCUAACUACGUGCCAGCAGCCGCGGUAAAUC
rnacentral:rRNA from 1 species